rnacentral:rRNA from 1 species
UACGAAGGGGGCUAGCGUUGCUCGGAAUCACUGGGCGUAAAGGGUGCGUAGGCGGGUCUUUAAGUCAGAGGUGAAAUCCUGGAGCUCAACUCCAGAACUGCCUUUGAUACUGAGGAUCUUGAGUUCGGGAGGGGAAAGCGGAAUUCCUGGUGUAGCGGUGAAAUGCGUAGAUAUCAGGAGGAACACCGGUGGCGAAGGCGGCUUUCUGGACAGAUACCGACGCUGAGGCACGAAAGCUAGGGGAGCAAACAGG